AUUGAACGCUAGCGGGAUGCCUUACACAUGCAAGUCGAACGGCAGCACGGACUUCGGUCUGGUGGCGAGUGGCGAACGGGUGAGUAAUGUAUCGGAACGUGCCUAGUAGCGGGGGAUAACUACGCGAAAGCGUAGCUAAUACCGCAUACGCCCUACGGGGGAAAGCAGGGGAUCGCAAGACCCUGCACCAUUAGAGCGGCCGAUAUCGGAUUAGCUCGUUGGUGGGGUAACGGCUCACCAAGGUGACGGUCCGUAGCUGGUUUGAGAGGACGACCAGCCACACUGGGACUGAGACACGGCCCAGACUCCUACGGGAGGCAGCAGUGGGGAAUUUUGGACAAUGGGGGAAACCCUGAUCCAGCCAUCCCGCGUGUGCGAUGAAGGCCUUCGGGUUGUAAAGCACUUUUGGCAGGAAAGAAACGUCGUGGGUUAAUACCCCGCGAAACUGACGGUACCUGCAGAAUAAGCACCGGCUAACUACGUGCCAGCCGCCGCGGUAAUAC
rnacentral:rRNA from 1 species